CCUUCAUUCAAUCUCAUCCCUAAUGUUGAACACCCAAAAAAAAACCUAACGAGACCUAGAACCCUAAUUCUUCAUCUUCGACCUUCAACCAUCUCCACCGAUCUUCUUCAACAUUACACACCCUAAGACCCUCGUCUUCAUCGACAGACCAAGCUUCUUCUUGAACCCCACUAAACACAAACACACGCACCCGCAUGGAGAGGAUGACUGGAAAACGGAAAGCAAAGAGAAGGGAACGACAAUGAUUGGAGGAGAAACGAAAAAAUAUUCCUAUAAGAAAUGUUCCGGGCUGAGUCGAUUUGCUCGGGUUGAUUUAUUUUCAUCUCUGUACUCGCCUGAAGAGAUUCCGGGCAGAAUCGAUUAAAGUUUUUUUUAUUCAAGUUCUGUUUCGAUAGAGAUGGAAUUAGCUUGCGCUCGCCGUUGUUCGUGGCCACUAGUGUCUUUUCUCAGCUGUUGUUACUCUUAAUUUCAAGGCCGGAUUCAUUUAUAUUGGGUACGAAAUUAAUCGAGGCUUCGCGCAAUCAGGUUCAAUAUCUUUUUUUUUAUAUCUGUUUGGUUGUCCAUUGGGAAAAUAUGAUAAGAGCUAUGUUAAUCCAUCUAUAAACAUAGGUCUGCGAGUAAUUUCAGUUGAGGUUGGAUUCGGAGUUAGCAUUUAUUCUCGAUUCGUGUUUGGAAAUUAUAUUUGAUAUGUCAUUUUGUUGUUUGGAAUCCUGUAUUCACUGUUCUGAUUUGCCUCGAGCACGUUCAGUUAACAAAAGCUAAUUUGAAUGUUCGUUUUCUAUGUCGUGAAUGCCUUUAGCUGUUUAUUUUGUUGAAGUAUCUCUUGGGAUUAAGUUUUCUCGAGUUGAAAUGGACGAUUUGUCCGGCUUUAGGAUUUCUUUGAAUAAGUCUGAACUAGCGAUGCAUAUUCUCAUGGCUUUCUGUUUGGUUCUCUGAUUUUCCAGUAUGCGUGAUUUCAAGUGCCAAGAUAUUUAGGCCACCUUCUGUUUGGUUUUCUGACUGGUUUUCUGUUUGGGUCUCUAUUUGGUCCUCGUCGACGCCUAAUCGCUCUGUUCUUUUCUUUGGGACAUGCAUAACAGUUUGUGUAGAAGAGUGUAGAGGGUUUAAACUAAGUUUGGGAUAUUUAUUUGUCUGAAAGGAUUCAAAUCCCUACUGUAUUUGAAACUAAUUAAGAAGCCUUUAAGAUAUCCUAAGAAUUGUUUGAUAAAAAGUUGUAUCUCACCUACUUAAGAAGUUGCUAGCACAUGGUAGGAUCAGUCUAGAGAUUAAUUUAAUAAAAAGGGGAUCAGCAAUGAAAAGGACACCCUAUUCAAUACUUUUAAGAGUUGAAAAGUAAGACAACAUGGGGGGAACAUUUCAAAAAAGCUGAAAUAAUACAAUUAUAAAGAAGAGAGGAGCUGGAAAGGGAGGGGGCUGGAAGUUUAAAAGGACAACAGAUAGACCUGAAAGAGCAGGACUAAAAUAAAUCUGAAAAAAAAACUCUGAAAACAACUGAAAAUUUGAGCACUAUUCCAUUGAGUUUGAAUUUGCUAAUUUGAAAUUUUUCUCUCCUUGAAUCAAUUUCUUAACUGUUUUGACUUAGAAAUAGUUUGAGUUUCAGUCAUCUAUCUUGGAUGUUGAGUUGUUGGUUUAACUGUGAAUCCGAAAUUGUUUCCUUGGUUGCAUUUCCCUGUUCUUGACUGAUCUGUGGCACUAUUUCCGUGGAUCUGAACUUAAUUCUGUUGUUGUUACCACUGAUACCUCACUUUUCUGCUUCCUUUUUUUACUUCCAGGUAUACGACCCUGUAACUCCUUUAGUUAUGAAGUGAAUUUGAGGAAUGAAAAAUGAAAAAUGAAGAAUUGGAGCACAUGAAAGUAUUCCAUUUUGUUCUUCUCUGAUCUGUCUGUUUUAUUUAAUGUGAUUAUUUUGUCCAAAUCAGUUUAGUUGAACAUGUUUUAGUUACUAGUAGAGAGGAUAUGGAGUUAGUAUGGUAAACCUUCAGUUCAUCUUGUUGGCUUCAUACAAGGUUGAAUGAUUUAUGAAUAGAGAUCCAAUAAUCUAGAUCCAUCCCUUACCCUUUUGAUUUUCGUAUGGUCAAAACUCUACUAUUCCUAUGCAAUUAGGUGUGUUUGUGUCCAACCUCCCUUUUGAAUUAAUGAUAUGAAGAUUUGAUCUGCU
rnacentral:lncRNA from 1 species